AUAAAACUGGCAGUACACACCACUCUGUUCCAAAUUUUUUUAAAAAAACUAAAGACACGGAUAAGACCCCCCCAGUCUGCAUACUGCCGAGUUCUUACGGAAAAUUUUCCUGAGAUUUGAUUUUAGGGUUUCAGUUGUUUCUGCUUCUUGGGCUCUAAAUUGUCCAUUCAGGUAAGGUUUUCGCUUCUCUCUGUGCAAGUAUGUUUUGAAUUUAGUCUUUAUUUUGCUCUGUUUGGCAGGUUGGAUAAUGUAGGAGAACAUGCGGAAAACAUGGUUCCGAAAGUCUUUAGUUUAGUAUCUUGAGGCCUUUCAAGAAAACAAAUUAUGCCUGUGAAACUUGCUUCUUGUACUUUUCUUGCUUUGUUUACUGUCUGUCUCUCCAAGUGAACAAGAGCUUUAGGAAUUGGUUUUCCCCCAAGACUUUUUCUCCCAUUUCUUGGCAACCAAACGGAGGAUUUUCUGGUUUUUUUUUUUUUUUUUUUUUCCUUCAAUACUUUUCUUUUCUUGUUUCUGUUUUUAUGUAGUGAAUAAUGUAUUUGAAAAUUCAUUUAAACCUUUUGAAUCUUUGAAGGUUCAUGUUAUGGUAAAACCCUAAUUUCGUGGUCAAAAGCUUGAGAAAUUAGGAUUUCUUGUCAGUUGUGGAUAUGAGUUUUGAGGAGGCAACAUGCAAUGGAGAUGGUAUGGAAUGCAUUCAGGGGGUACAGUUCUUGAAAAGUAAAGCAGUGGCUAGUGCAUGUGAAGUCACUGUUAUACGUAAUUCUGGGAAUGGGAGCACUAGCACAAGAGAAGGUUUUCUAACCUACAAGAGGAGGAGGUAUGCUGGGCAGAGUUUGGGGAGCAAAGUGCUAGGAUGUGGCAGAAAUUCUGUUGAAGCAGCUAGUCAAUUGGCAGGCCAGGUAUACAAAGAUGUUCUUUGCUACGUGUUUAUCAGAUUAUUUCUUGUUGGAUUUUACCGGUCAUAAAGUUAUUUGUUCACAUUUUCUUCGUAUUUCAAAAAAUUAUUUGUGAUUUUGAGCUUUUGAAGUACAAGGAUCUCUAAAAUGGUAUUGUGCAAGUUCGAACAUAAACUCAGCUUUUGUUGAACUAUAAACACAAUAGACAAGCGUCCAGAAGAUUUUGGAAUUUCUUUGGUUUUUUGAAUUAACAAAAUAAAGCUGCAUCCACGGAGAUUUUUAUUAGUAUGAGGCUCCUGUCCAAGGAUAUCUUAGAAAUGACUGAUUUGGUGUGGCUUUGGCAGUAGGAUGAACAUGAAAGGCAUCUAUCUUCAUGUGAAGUGAGGAUGGCCAUUCACAUAAUAGAGAUCUUUGCUACAAAUAAAAUUUAUUUAUUUAAUAAACUCUGUGUAGUGGUUUGUGAUUUCAAUUGAAGUUCUAAGACAGUAGUUAGGGCUUGAGUGCCCCAAUAGCAUUCACUGUUCUCACAAUGAAUUGCAUUCCUGUCUGGUAUAUAGAGAGAAAAUGUCACUCUAGAGCUCUUCUUGUUCAAUUUAAGACACGUAUGGACUUUAGGGAACUAAGGAAUCUUUUACUUUCUGUGCCAUGUUAAUGAUCCAGAACUUUAUUUCAUGGCUUUUAAUUUGCUGUAUAAGUGUUCUCUUUCAUAUGAUGCCUUAAAUGGAAAGGAAGAUGACAUAUAAUUUUGGGCGCUUUUUAGAGUUAUUAUGCUUGUUACAUAUUGAAAAAUGUGUUGCUUUCAGGUCAACUGAAAAAUCAUCUCCUUUUCUACAUUGUUUUCAUUUCAUUUGCUGGAUAACAUUCUUCCUCUUCUUCUGCAGGAUAAGAAAAUAAGAACAGCUUAUGCAUGUGAACAAUAGAUUCUUGGUGCUUGAAAUUCAUAUAUGUUUUGGAGUAAAAAGUGUGCUUGGUGCUUGAAAUUCUUGAGUUCCUAAAAUUGUAUGUACGGCGCUUGUAGGUCGGAAUGCAUAUGCGGUUUUCAUGUUUGUUAGGAUACGAUGUAUAUAACAUACGAAGAUGACUUUCUCCCCAGUGAGAGUUGUUUGGUGGGUAAGAAAUAACUCAUUCACUGUUAGGGGGAGUCAGCACCAAUAGGGGACAAAUUAACAGAAGAGUAUCUUAGAUAAUUUGGCAUGUCCAAUAUGGGACCACAGAUGUACAAAUGUGGAAGUUAGUUUUAGAAGAUUUAAUCUGAAGACGUAUCUUCAAUAAUCUCACUGAAAAGACGAUUCUUGCGUGGUUGUCUGGAUGAAGAGUAUUGUUUAGCUUUUUCCUGACUAGUCCAUAAUCAAGCAACAGUUGGGUUGAUGAUUUGUAGAUAUCUGAUACUUAAUCUUGAUAUGCAUCAUAUAAAUGAGCUUGCAAAAUCUUGAUGCAGAAAUUAACCUUAAUGGUUCAAUGUGCUCUUUCUUUAUCAGAAACUGAACAAAUAUAUCAUUCAAAGGGAUUGCAGUUGUGACAAAUAAAAAAAUAUGAUAUACAAUAUGCUGAAAGACAAAAAUGUCAAUUACAUCUUUUAAAUCCUCCCUACUCAUGAGAUGAUGUCCUUGGAAAGAAUAAACAGGUUCUGCAAUCAUAGAUGCAUGAUCCUACAAAAAGGGGAAGGAAGAGCAUCACGAAGCCCUUCCUAUCUGCUGAAUGACCAAAAGGAUUGCCAAAGAUUAGAGAGAAAAACCAUUUGCAUUUGAUCCACGAAUCCAUUCCGAGCCCAAAGCUCUUUCGUAACUGAAGCCCAACCACCCAACUAAUAUUGAGAAAGCCUAAAUUAUCCUGGGCAGUUGAUUUUUUUUUUCUUUUUUCUGGUGGGGGAGGGAUGGGAAGGGGGGAAAUCCCUGUUGCAAAGGAAGUAGCCAUUGACUUAAAUAGUUCUUGACUGCUGGAUUCUUUUAGGGGGAAACCGGAUGUGAGAAGACUUGAUACUUAAAACCUUUGUUGUGUGCUUAUAUCUCUUUCUGAUUCUUGAUAAUUAAUGAUACUUUUUACUUCUUGUUGCAAAAACAUCAUAGACUGCAUAAAUNNNNNNNNNNNNNNNNNNNNNNNNNNNNNNNNNNNNNNNNNNNNNNNNNNNNNNNNNNNNNNNNNNNNNNNNNNNNNNNNNNNNNNNNNNNNNNNNNNNNNNNNNNNNNNNNNNNNNNNNNNNNNNNNNNNNNNNNNNNNNNNNNNNNNNNNNNNNNNNNNNNNNNNNNNNNNNNNNNNNNNNCAAAAAAAGUUAUCUCUUCACUUUCAUUUGGAAGAUUAUGAUGAAUGCUUGGUUUUUACAAGUUCUACAGUUUCCAGGGAUUCUUUUGGUGUUUGCCAUAAGCAUGUAUUAACUUUCACUAUAGUAGACAAUCAACCUUGUGACAUGUUCUAGCACUGAUAAUCUGUUAUGUUUGAAAUAUUGCAUGAAGUUAUGCAUUUCCUUGACUCAUCAUGUGGAAGUAACACAUUUUCCUUUAUAAUCACAUUGUAUCAUCAUUAACACAUUAGUUCUUUUGUGACUUUUCAUUCAAUACUUUUUACAUUAUUGAAAACUAAGAAGCACCAGUAUUUAGGCACUCCUAUGUGCAACCAAACACCAUAUGCUUUUUGUGGAUCAAUAGGUCAACUGUUUUGAUAUAUAUAUAUAUAUAUAUAUAUAUAUAUUAUUCUCAUGCAUCAACUUUUUUCUCAUGUAGUCUUUCGUUGUUCUCAUUUUUCUGUAUCCGGGUUAAUGUUCAACUUCCUAGUUCUCUUUUGCAAUUCUAAGAGCUUUUACCUGUUGGAAUCUCAGCAUUCUGCUAGAGGCUAUUUCGGGUUAAAACGUUUCCUAUCAGUAUUGAUGUUUGCGGUGAUGACAUCAAACUGUGCAAGGGGAGACAUUUUGGUUGAUGGGAUGAUUUAACUGCUUUAUGUCUUUUCUACAUCUCUUCUAGAGUUCCAUGCUUUUCUUCUGGAACGAAAAGUUCCUUAUGUAUUUUGUGCCUGAUCCACUUUUGAGUUAUCUCUUACAAUCACAAAAAAGCUGAGAAGGAAACAAAUAAGUAUUUGUUUUAUCUGACGCAUGAAGAUAGCUUAUGAUUGAUUAUUACCUCUAUUCCUCGUCUUCUCUCCCAUUCUCUCAGUAUUCUUUACUUCUCACUAUCCAUUAUCAUUGAGAUGUUUCCUUCUCCUGAAUUCAGCUAGAUUGGGAUUCAUAAAAAUAAGGGAAUUUUCAACUUCUUCAGAACAUCUAUUCCCCAUCUACUUAAUAGUAAGCUAUAAUGAGCCUUUCUUAGACUUUCAACGAAAUCAGACUUUUAUGUGACUUCCAGUCAUCUUUUAGGGUCUAUUCCAAAUUAUAUUAUAUUUUCUGUAUUAUAUUCUCUGCUUGCAGGAGUUCCUUAUGGCUGAAUAUGANNNNNNNNNNNNNNNNNNNNNNNNNNNNNNNNNNNNNNNNNNNNNNNNNNNNNNNNNNNNNNNNNNNNNNNNNNNNNNNNNNNNNNNNNNNNNNNNNNNNNNNNNNNNNNNNNNNNNNNNNNNNNNNNNNNNNNNNNNNNNNNNNNNNNNNNNNNNNNNNNNNNNNNNNNNNNNNNNNNNNNNNNNNNNNNNNNNNNNNNNNNNNNNNNNNNNNNNNNNNNNNNNNNNNNNNNNNNNNNNNNNNNNNNNNNNNNNNNNNNNNNNNNNNNNNNNNNNNNNNNNNNNNNNNNNNNNNNNNNNNNNNNNNNNNNNNNNNNNNNNNNNNNNNNNNNNNNNNNNNNNNNNNNNNNNNNNNNNNNNNNNNNNNNNNNNNNNNNNNNNNNNNNNNNNNNNNNNNNNNNNNNNNNNNNNNNNNNNNNNNNNNNNNNNNNNNNNNNNNNNNNNNNNNNNNNNNNNNNNNNNNNNNNNNNNNNNNNNNNNNNNNNNNNNNNNNNNNNNNNNNNNNNNNNNNNNNNNNNNNNNNNNNNNNNNNNNNNNNNNNNNNNNNNNNNNNNNNNNNNNNNNNNNNNNNNNNNNNNNNNNNNNNNNNNNNNNNNNNNNNNNNNNNNNNNNNNNNNNNNNNNNNNNNNNNNNNNNNNNNNNNNNNNNNNNNNNNNNNNNNNNNNNNNNNNNNNNNNNNNNNNNNNNNNNNNNNNNNNNNNNNNNNNNNNNNNNNNNNNNNNNNNNNNNNNNNNNNNNNNNNNNNNNNNNNNNNNNNNNNNNNNNNNNNNNNNNNNNNNNNNNNNNNNNNNNNNNNNNNNNNNNNNNNNNNNNNNNNNNNNNNNNNNNNNNNNNNNNNNNNNNNNNNNNNNNNNNNNNNNNNNNNNNNNNNNNNNNNNNNNNNNNNNNNNNNNNNNNNNNNNNNNNNNNNNNNNNNNNNNNNNNNNNNNNNNNNNNNNNNNNNNNNNNNNNNNNNNNNNNNNNNNNNNNNNNNNNNNNNNNNNNNNNNNNNNNNNNNNNNNNNNNNNNNNNNNNNNNNNNNNNNNNNNNNNNNNNNNNNNNNNNNNNNNNNNNNNNNNNNNNNNNNNNNNNNNNNNNNNNNNNNNNNNNNNNNNNNNNNNNNNNNNNNNNNNNNNNNNNNNNNNNNNNNNNNNNNNNNNNNNNNNNNNNNNNNNNNNNNNNNNNNNNNNNNNNNNNNNNNNNNNNNNNNNNNNNNNNNNNNNNNNNNNNNNNNNNNNNNNNNNNCAACUCACAGCUUGGAUAAUUAAUCAUAGUCUCUGAGUGUAUAUUUUUAUUUAAAGCAAAAGAAAUAAUUUAUUCCAGUGAUGAAAUGAAUUUGUGCCAAAUGAGAUAUCCACCAUUUCUGCUAUGAACUCUCAAGUUGUGUGGAAGUUUUGUUUUCUUGUUGUGAUCAUGUUUGAUGUUUGUUUCAUGUUCUCUUCUCAUCAUUGGUUUGCCAGUUACGCUUCCCUUCCAUCUUCCUUCUAAUGCAGCGUAGUGGAUUAGGGUUUAGAGAGAAAUUAGAGAAGAAAAGGAUAACUUCAUCCACAAUUACAAGGUUAGCAUCACAGGGUUGUUAGGCACUCAAUUCAGUAAGAGGAAAUUAGUAUUUUGUUCAUAAGCAGCCUGUUUAAUAAUGAUGAAGCACCUUUCUCUUUACAGGUUGUUAACAUAGCCUAAUAUGAUUUGGAGUUCUUAAACAAGAAAACAAGAAUAAAUAAAAUUUCGAACUAAAUAAGACCUAAAACCUUAACAAAAUAUAAAACAUGCCAAGAUAUAAUAGUCUUAUUUUAGUAAAGCUGGGCUAGAUGGUCCAGCAUCACCUUUUCUAUCUCUCUCUCAAAAUCAGAGAAAGAGAAAAAAGUCAGAAAAAAAUAGAAAAUACUUGUUUGAGAUUUGUUUUAAUGUUUGUCCAUGUGUCAUAUAUGUGAAUGUUAGUGCUGUUGGUUUAAUUAAAAAAGAUCUGAGUGUUGAAACUUGAUGGAGCUAUGGGACAGUAGGAGAAAUGUUGAGUAUUUCUGCUUGGCUGAAGCUUUUAUUUGUUUAGUUUUCCAUUUAUAUGGUUCCUAAUCUUACACUGCCUUAAACCUUUCCUGAUGUAAAUAUUACAUUUUUUCUCUUUGAAACAGUUCUGUGCCCAGGAAUCAGUUCCUCAUGCUAAACUGGAGCAUCCUGCAGCGUACAGUGUGUACAGAAUUUGCACUUGCAAACAAUGUGGAAAGGAGGCAGAUGGGAAGGAUUGUCUAGUAUGUGAUUCUUGUGAAGAAAUGUACCAUGUGUCCUGCAUUGAGCCUGCUGUCAAGGAGAUUCCCCCAAGAAGCUGGUAUUGUGCAAAAUGCACAGCCAGUGGAAUUGGAUCACCUCAUGAGAACUGUGUAGUAUGUGAGAAGGUUAAUGCCCCUAGGACCUUAAUUAGUCAUGGUGUUAAUGAUAUUAGUCCAACAAAUGGUGAGCCAUUUUAUGAGAUUGAAGAGAAUUCAAAUGGUAGUAUGGAGAAUGGGCUUCAAAUGUCAGAAGAGAGCAAAAACAACUCUAUGUGCAAGGUUUGUGGCGGGGAGGUAGAGGAUGGUGAAAAGUUCAGGAUGUGUGGUCAUUCCUUCUGUGUUAGCAAAUAUUAUCAUACAAGGUGCCUGACAACUAAGCAGUUAAAAUCAUAUGCUGCCUGUUGGUACUGCCCUUCUUGUCUCUGUAGAAUUUGCCUCAAUGACAAAGAUGAUGAUAAGAUUGUUCUAUGUGAUGGUUGUGAUGAUGCAUACCAUAUUUACUGCAUGAAACCACCUCGCACUUCAAUUCCAAGGGGCAAGUGGUUUUGCAGAAAAUGUGAUGGUGGUAUACAGAGAAUACGCAAAGCAAAAAGAGCAUUCGAAAAAUUUGAAAAUAAACAGAAAGAGAGGGGUGGAGACAGUGAAAAGGAAAAUGAAGUAUCUGAAAAGCAACAGUGCGAGAAUGAGAAAGAAGAAUCGGACAAGGGAAGAGGAGGAAUGGACAUGCUCUUGUCUGCGGCCAAUACUCUAAACUAUGAAGAGAAGAUGGCUGCCAUUCAGAUAAAGAAUUAGAAGGAAGUUUGAUAUUGAAGAAUGACUUGUCUAGUAUGUUUACUUGCUGAUUCCCAAAAAUUUAUUUCCGGUGCAAUUUUUUGGGGGACAAAUAUUUUGGUAGGUUGUAAAGCACUAGAUCUACUGACUUUUGGAUAGAUAACUCAGUGACAACAUGAUUCCAAAGGCUGUAUAUCGCUGGCUAGCAUCCCAUGAAUCAGGAUCAGGGGGGAAAAGCAUUAGAUUCAUUUUGUGCAAAUGACCCUUUAAACAUUUUGGAGGAUAUUUUGCCCACUUUGUACUAAGCAGUAUAUACUUUUGAAGAGGAGUCCUCAAAAAACAGUGUUUCUCACUCUUGUUAAGUGUUGUAAAAUGAAGAAAUUGUGACUAAAGCAAACUGAAUUAGUAAUGAAGUGGAAGGAUUAUUCUCUGUCUCCAGCUUACUGAAUUAGUAAAUUUGAUUUUAGGUGGAAGCAAAAUUCAAAAAUUUGAAAAUGCUCAUUUUAGGUGAAAGCCCCUGGACUGGUUGGAGAGGAGCGAAAAGAAUGAUUCUAGGGACACAUCAGGUAGCUAAGGGUUUAGGGCCAUUUUAAGGGCCCUCUAAGGCCCAUUUUAAUGCUCACAUAAGGCCCAUAUCAGGCCUAUUUUAAGGCCUACAAGACCCAUUUUAAGGCCCCUAUAGGGUCAAAUGUCAUUAAAAGGUGAGCCCAAAACCAAACAAGACAACUGAAGACGGCAAAUGUACCGUUAAGAAAUGACCAUCUUAAGGCCCAUAUGAGCCCAUACAAGACUCAUUCAAAGGCCCACAUGAGGCCCAUUUUAAGGCCCACUUAAGACCAUCACAGGACAAUUUUAAGGCCCCUCUACGGCCCAUUUUAAGGCUCGUAUAAGGCCCAUUUUAAGGCCUAUGAGGCCCGUUUUUAUUUUGUUUUCGAUUAUUUUGAGAAAUAAAGUUUAGUUGGAAAUUUAAUUGCAACUUUGAUUUGUAUUUUGUUUUGAUUUGGACUUGGUUCGCUGAAGAAACAAAAUUUAAACUUGAAACUUGAAACAUUGGGUCUAGAAGAACAAAUUAAGGAGUUGAAUCUAAAAGACUUUUGAGUAAGUUUGAAUUAAUAAUAGAGGGUGUAUAUACAUGUAUGCGCACACCCUAAUAUUAUUCUGAAAAUAUUGAUAAAAUAUCUAUACAUUACAUGUUUUGAUAGAUAUAUAAAAUAUAUUUAAUAAAGUAUUGGCCUUAGUACUUACUUAUUAUGGUAUUCCAUGAGGAAUAUCAGACGCGAAUGGAAGUGGUGGAUGCAUUGAACUAACCAUUAAAAAGUUUAAGUCAUAAUGUGAUCGUCGCAAUUGACACGACAAUGUGCAUCUACCAGCUGCAUCAUGCAAUUUUUUUUUUACCAACCUCAUCAUGUAACGCAUGCAAACAAGUUUAUACAAUGCGUAUUGGCUGGAACUAUGAUUUUAUCCUUGUUUUUAAGUAAGAAUUAGGGGAGGAAAAAAAAAAAAAACUCACACUAAAAUUAUUACAAAUGAAAUGAAAGAAGAACUUCGAGCAUUAAGUAAAACACAUACUUGAGAUUCUCUAUAUUGUUGGCUGUAAAUGGGUACGUAAUAUAAAUAACAUAAUUGACUUUUGUUUCUCGUGAUGAUCGUAUAUCUUUUUGAUGCACUAAUCAUGAUAUUAUUUUCUCGUGCUGGUUUCACAACGAAAACCAUCCUUACUUAUGGUGAAACUCACGUACAAAGGUGUAGUCUUCUUGAUGAUCAUAUAUUAUAUACUGAUUUAAUAUUUGAAUUUCACGUUAAAUAAAAAUAUAUGAUUAUUAAACUCUGUAUAGUGGUUCAAGUCAUAUAUUACUAUUAAUUUAAGUUUAAAUAUUUUAAAAGAUAAUAGUUUGAUUUUAAAAUUUUUUUAGAUUAAUAUUGUUUUAACUUGAAACGUGUAAAUAAUAUCAAAAUAUAUAUUAACUUAAAUUAUGAGUUUCAUAUAAGGGGCCGAGUCUCAUAUUACUAACACUUGAGAUUAAGUUUUUGAGGGUUAGAAUUUCUCCCAAAAGUUAUUUGAUUAGUAGUAAUUGAGCUCAAGAUAUUACAGUCGAAUUCAACAUGACAUUAUUUAUGAUGUUUACUUAGUUAAUCAAUUUAUAGUUGCAUAUAUAUAUAUAUAUAUAUUUGCUUAUGUUAGUAUUUAAAUGUAAUUUGGAUUUUACUUUAUGUCAAAACACUUUGUUUCGUUAACUAAUUUUUUAUCCAUUUCUUAUUGAUUCUUUUUUUGGAUACAUUGAUGUUAAUUGGCCAUUUUUUUUUGAAAGGUAAAAAUUUAUUGAAACAAUAUAACUGUAUAGAUAGAUAGAUGUACACAAAGGAUAACCUUAUUAAACUAAAACAUAAUAAGUGAAUACAACAUUAACAUAAAACAUAGCUAAUAUCAACACAACAACUUUGGGUCGGUAGGACUUUAGACUUUAUGAGAUAUUUGAAUCGUGAAUUGUGAUUGUUGUAUGUAGACUUGAUAAGAACGUUGAGAGUUUGAGUAAUACAGAUUGUGAUAUCCAAAUCUCAUAUUAAAAAAGUAUAUGAUUAUUGGACGUCACAUAAGAGGUGAAGUAUAUAUUGCCAAUGACUUGUGAUUGAUCUUUUUAGGGGCCAGUAUUUGGAUUCAAAAAUUUGUUGGGUUUAUAGUGUUUGGUUACGUAACAUUAUAAUUGAACUAAACUUGAUACUAUUUAUAUAGUUCACUCAGUUAAUCAAUUUAUGAUUUCUUUUAUUUUCUAUUACUAUUUAACCAUCUUCUUUGGAUUCUUCUUUAUGCCAAGGCACUCUUUUUCAUGAACUAUUUUUUUUAUCUGCUCUUAUUAAUAUUGUUUGAAUUGAUGCUAAUUGAACAUUUUUCUAAGUGACAAUUUAUUGAACAAUGACCAUGAAAGACAAAUAUACAUGAACAAUAACUGUGCAUAACUAAAGUAUAAUAAGCAAAUACAACAUUAUCAUAAUAAGGAUUGUGUAUCAACUUGAUAACUUUAAGUUGAUACAAUUUUAAAUUUUAUUCGACGUUUAAAUUUUAAUUUGUGAUUAUUUUAUAUUGAUUUGAUUGGGGAAUAUCGAAAAUUUGGCUGAUGCAGUUAUAAUAUCCAACAAAUCUUAUAUAUUAGAAAAAUGUGACUUUUGAGCUCCAUAUAAGGACUUAAAUCGUACAUUAUUAAUAAUAUGAGAUUAACUUUUGGUUGUCGGUGAUUGUGGGCUAAAAAAUUAUCGGAUUAGUAAUGUUUAAGUUUAAUAGAUCACGUUUAAACUCAAUAGGAUAUUAUUCAUAGUUUAUUUAGUUAAUCAAUUUAUUACUUUUUGCUUGUGUUACUAUUUAACCCUCAUUUGAAUUGUUCUUUUUGUGAAGACACUCUUUUUCAUAUACUAUUUUUUUUUUUUACUUGAUUUGAAUACUUUGAUACUAAUAGAGCACUUUUUUAAAUGUAAAAAUUUAUUGCAAUAAUAGCAUCCCCUAAGAUUAAUUUAAAUGAACGACAACCGCAUCCAACUAAAACAAAAUCAAUAAAUAUAAUAUUAGUAUAACACAAGCAUGUAUCAACUUGGUACCUUCGGAUUAUUGGGAUCUUGGACUUAGUGGGAUACUUAGAUUGCGAUUUGUUAUUUUUAGAUGUAAAUAUGAUGAAAAUAUAAAAAAUCUAAUUGAUGCAACUUAAGAUAUUUAAAUCUCAUAUAAUAAAAAUACGUUAUUAUGAUUACCCAUGAUUUAGAUUUGAAAAAUUAUUAGAUUAGUGGUAUUUAGACACGAAACGUGACAACUGAACUUAAUUUGAUAUUACAGUCUUACUCAUGGUAUUAAUUUUGUUUAUUACUUUUUAUCACCUAAAAGUUAAAUAUAAAACUAUUGCUUUUUCUGACGUUUAUUUCAUUAGUGUUAUAUAUAUAUAUAUAUAUAUAUAUAUAUAUAUAUUAAGUUUACUUUUAACUAGUAUAUAAAUUGUUAGUACAAAUAAAUUUUUUUGUUUUUAAAUCAAAUAAAUAGUAGCAGAAAUAAUUAUUCAGAUAUAAUUUCAGUAAAAACUCAAUUAAACAUAAUUUUCUUUUUAAAAUAAUUCAACUUAAUGUUAACAUAUAAAAUCUCAACUGUGAGUUUAAAUAUUUUUUGCUGUAUCCACAUUUUUAGAUAAUACUGGUAAAUGUAUUACAGUAUAUAUACAUAAAAAUGUGUAUUUAUAGUAGUAAAGUGGAAAUAACAUUGGAAGUGAUGAUGAAAAUUUGGUCGCAAUUUGAAAAGGAAAAUUGUGUUUAGCAUUUCUUAAAAGUAUUUCUUUUUGUAGUUAAAUAUUACAUACGCAUGAAUGUAUAUUAUUAUGUAUAAGCAUAUAUAUAUAUAUAUAUGUGUGUGUGUGUGUGUGGAAAUAAAAACUACAGUGACGAUCUUAUUAUCUAUGAAUUGUUUGACUGUGUAGAAGAAAAGAAAUCUCUUGGUUAAUGUGAUUAAUCUCCAUAUUUUGCAAAUUUAGCGUCGCAUUUGUUACCUUUCAACAUUAAUUUGAUAAACAGAAGAAGAAGUCGUUCUGAAUCUUGAGACGGAUGCUUAUAGAAAUCUAUAUAUAUAUAUAUAUGUGUGUGUGUGUGUGUGUAUAUGUACGUAUAUACAUAUAUUGUUGUGCAGUCCAUUUGUCAACUAAUUCUGGUAAAUAUUAGUAUGAUUACAAUAAUUAAUAUGUUACUAAUUCUCGUUAAACGUAGAAAAUUAUGUAACAACCAAGUUUUGUCGUUUAAAUAUUCAUAAUAUCUUAAAAAUACGACGUAAGAGGUUCUGCUACCGCGAAGUUCAAAGUAUAUAAGUGAUAUGAAUGUAACUAAAAACUCCUGGUUAUAAACUUUGGUGUUCAGUCAUGGAGCUAAUGAUCACCCCAACCCCUGCAAACUCUUCCCCUCUCACACCCCUUGGCUUCUUGGAGAGAGCUGCUUGCGUUUAUGGUGACUGUCCCUCCGUCGUAUACGACACCGUUUCGUACACGUGGUCACAGACUAACCAUCGAUGCCUCCGGCUGGCAUCUUCCAUUUCAUCCCUCGGCAUCGGGAGGGGCCACGUGGUGUCCGUCCUCGCCCCAAAUAUCCCCUCCAUGUACGAGCUCCAAUUUGCUGUCCCCAUGUCCGGAACCGUCCUCAACAACCUAAACCUUCGCCUGGACGCUCAUGCUCUCUCCGUGCUCCUGCGCCACAGCGAAUCAAGGCUCGUCUUCGUUGACCACGACUCUCAACCUCUCUUAUUAGAAGCCGUAUCUUUGUUCCCGCGAAACACCAAGCCUCCGCUUCUCGUCCUCAUCGACGACGGUGCUGCCUCUGCGGGAACACCAACGUCAGCCGUUGAUUUUCUUGACACCUACGAGGGAGUGAUGGAGGGUGGUGAUCCGAAGUUCAAGUGGGUCCGGCCUAAUAGCGAGUGGGAUCCAAUGGUUUUGAACUACACGUCGGGCACAACUUCGUCACCUAAAGGGGUGAUUCAUAGUCACCGGGGAAUUUUUAUUAUAACCGUUGACUCACUCGUUGACUGGUCAAUGCCUAAUCGACCAGUUUACUUGUGGACCCUACCGAUGUUCCACGCCAACGGAUGGAGCUUCCCGUGGGGCAUGGCGGCGAUUGGUGGAACCAACGUUUGCAUGCGUAGAGUCGACGCGCCGGCGAUGUACCGUUUGAUUGAGCGACACAGGGUGACCCACAUGUGCGGUGCGCCUGUGGUGCUCAACAUGCUAUCAAACUCCCAAAACACGCCGCAGAAACCCCUUGACCACCCUGUGCACAUCUACACAGCCGGAGCGCCACCUCCUGCCCCGAUCCUAUCACGAGUCGAGUCGCUGGGUUUCGUGGUGAGUCAUGGAUACGGGAUGACCGAGACGGCCGGUCCCGCCGUGUCUUGCGCCUGGAAACCCAAAUGGGACAAGUUGCCGUUAUCUGAGAGAGCAAGGUUAAAGGCAAGACAAGGAGUGAGGAAGCUAGGAUUCGGUGAGGUCGACGUGAUAGAUCCCAAAAGUGGAGAGAGCGUGAAGCGAGACGGGUUAAUGAUGGGCGAGGUGGUUUUGCGAGGGGCGUACGUGAUGCUAGGAUACCUAAAGAAUCCAGAAGGAAGUGCCGCGUGCAUGAGAGAAGACGGGUGGUUAUAUACCGGGGACGCGGCGGUGGUGCACCCAGAUGGGUACCUGGAGGUGAGAGAUCGGUUCAAGGACGUGAUAAUAAGUGGGGGAGAGAACAUAAGCAGCACGGAGGUGGAGUCAGUGUUGUACUCGAACCCGGUGGUGAAGGAAGUGGCGGUUGUGGCGCAGCCGAACAAGUUCUGGGGGGAGAUUCCGUGUGCGUUCGUGAGUUUGAAGAGCGGGUUGGCUCGGAAUCCGACGGAGAAGGAGAUAAGGGAGUUUUGCAAGGGAAGGCUGCCGAGAUACAUGGUGCCAAGAAGGGUGGUGUUUCAAGAAGAGUUGCCCAAGACUUCCACCGGCAAGAUUCAGAAGUUUGUGCUCAGGGAAAUCGCCAAAUCUUUCAGUUAAUUACUUCCAUGUCUUAGCGUCCAUUUCUUUUAAUAUUAUAUAUAUAUACAUAUAUAAAGAACUAUAUAUACGUAGUGUCCACUUCUUUUUAAUUCUCAUACGCACUGCUGAAUCAGCCGCAAUAAAGUCAGGAUUGUUUUUCCGGCCGGCCAUAACUAUUAGCAUUCAUCCAACAGUAGUCAUACAAGCUACAAGGUUGACGCGAUGUACUCGUUAAAUAAAUAAUUAGAUACAUUUACCAGUAAGCUGGCAUAGUAAUCAGUAAUUAGAUACUUGUUAAUCUAUUACUAAAUACAUUAAUAUGAAUUUCUUUUUUUUCUUUUAAAGAAGAGAUAAAUAUCAUGAACUUGGGCAUUAAUAAUACAAUAUAAUAUGUUACCAAAGCUUAUGUUAUUAAUAAAAUUUUAUAAAUUAUUCUACAGUUUAUGUUGUUAUUAUUUGUUAAACUUUGAUGUUAAAUUUAAUAAUUCAAAAUUACCAAAGUACUUCUAAUUUAAUAACAAAAUUACUAUACUAGUCUCAACAGUAUAAAUAAACAAUAUAAUAUAUUAAAAAAAAUUAUAUUAUUAAAAUUUAUCUAAUAAAUUUUAAAUUUUUUUUAAAAAAAUAUAUUUGAAAUUUGUUUGGAAAAUUUAUUUUAACUUUUUUUUUUUUUUUUUUUCUCUCCAUGUUUUAAAACAUCAUUCAUUGAAACAUUAUUGUAACCUUUUUCCAGAUGUAAAAACCUGUAAACACAGCUUAGUGGAAAGUGGAACCAGACGGUGCAUAAGCAAAACUUAUAACUUCGUGUGUGUGUAUAUAUAUAUAUAUAUUACACCCAAACACACACACACACACACACAUACUUGUAUGUAUAUAUAUAGGACUCAGAUACAAUCCCAGUCCAGAUGAAGUAAAAUCACGAGGGAUGCUCCGCAUAAAUCACUAACUCAGCAGAGGCAAUUCAGCUGCAAGUACAACUCUCCCUCCCCUCCAGUUUGUCUUCCCCUCUGCCAACUUACGCUUUUAUCUGGGCUGCCAGUUGCAAAUGAUCCCAUGAAUCGAGUUCUCCAUUCUCCUUGUUUGCCUUCCUACUGCAUCAAGACUUCUCUAUCAUCAUUCAAAGGACAAACAUCAACUGUAUUCAUUGGCGAAUUAUCUAAAUCUUUUCCACUCAACUUACCAGAUAAGACUCAGAGAAAAGAUAUAUACCAUACAAAAAUAAAGGAAGUAUUCUUCUUCCUUUUUGUUUCUCAAGCACGUUCAGGACCCCCCCCCAGUCUUAUUAUCCCCUACAGCAUAUCGGUUUCUAUCAUUGCUCAGUCCUGAUGCAUGCAGCUGCUUUCUCCUCUUCACAAGAUGCAAUGCAGUUUGUCUGUCAUCUUUAGCCUCCUCGGAAUCAGGCUGCAUGUGAUAGCUACGAUUAUGAAAACCUCAAUCAUACAAUUCUUAUUGUGUAAAACAGAAAUAUAACUUUUAAUGGGGGAAACAAAACCAUUAAGCCCUUCAAGUACAACUUCAAUAGCUGUAAUUUCAUAAAUCGUUCAUGUUCCAAAAGGUUAGAAAUAAAGUAAUAACAAUAUGGAACACCUAUUACAUUCUGCUGCUUCUAUUUGUCACAACAUUCCAAAGUUGAUGUUUCCAUAUACAUGCAUUUUCUUUUUGCCUGAUAAACACUGUGCUCAAGUGUAAACAAGAAGACUAAUUCAGCCAGGUUUCUCUAUGUUGCAAACUAAUUUUUCACUUAAUCAUGAAUGUGAAGAUAGCCAGAGACUCGAGAUCCAAGUUUUAAAAGCUCAGACAGAGAACAAUACCAGAAAUGAAGAGCAUAGCUUUUGUAAUCACUAAAACCAAACGAAAUUCCAUUAGAUUAUGGCUCUGUUUGGUAAAUGAAAAUAUUGUCUAGUUUUUAUUUCCUAAAUUAAUAUUUAGUUUAUUCAGAGGGCCAUAUAAAUUAGAUAACAAAAAAGAAAAUGAUAGUGAUGAUAAUGAAAGUGAAGAAGUAAGGAAAUUUCAAAAUGUUGUUUCUAGUAUUUUUUAGAAAAUUAUCUUAUUCGUGCUUUUAUUAUUCCCGAAGUACGCAACUGUUACACAUUUUGUGAAUAAACCUAUGCAUAAAUACAUGCGAAUUUAGUAAACAAUGCAUAAAAACUAGAAAAGAUUUUCAUGUACCAAAUGGACCAUAUUUCUUAAAAGUUACCUUGAUAGCUAAUGCCCUGUCAAAACUUUCUAUAGCACUAUCAGGCUCCCCAAAGUUUAACUGUGCCCUCCCAAGGGUGAUCCAUGCCUGGAAGAUCCACUUUAGUAAGAAACAAAAAAGACAACAUAAAAUAACAUGAAUGCACCUUCUAUAACUUUAAUAUAAUUGCAAGCUAGGACAGCAGCAACUGCAAUUACUACUGCACUGGUAACAGCAGUGAGUCCAGGCCAUUUAGGAUCUCACCUUGUAUGCAACAACUACUCUACCAAUUAACUAGUGAUGAAGAAUAGAACGAACAUCUACUUUUCACUUUGAAGAUUUACCCAAAAUAAGACACGCAUAUUAUGAUUUAUGCAUGCACAUAAAGGGACAGGCAGGCUCUUCAUACAAUCACAAAGGCUAAGUAGAACAUGAAAGAGACCUUGACUGAGAUAUUAACAUAUAAAGCACUAUAAAUAUUUGCUGACAUGCCAACAAGCCAAUGGCGAAUCUAAAGUUAAUGAUUCAAGGAACUGUCAGGCAGGUUUUAACAGCUAGUUCCUGUCCUGAACUUCAGUAAAAUAUGUCCAGCUGCAGUUUCAUAGCUUACUCCCAAACUUCAGUUAAUAUGCACGAUAUAAGAUGUCUGCAGAAUUUGGAAAUUAGCACACAACAUUGCCGAGUUGUACACAGUCCAAAAUCAGUUCAGUUAUAUGUUUAUAUCAAUAGAGGAAGUUCAGCAGUCGGAGCAAUCACCCCAACCUUAAACAUGAUAUGAAACAUUCAGUUAGUAUUUAACAUGUAACAUUGAAAAACAUAACAAAAUAUUCUUCUAAUUAUUCUUCCAUUUUGAUAAUCUUGAUGAAACAAGAGCAUCUCCAGAUGAAGAUGCCAAAUUUUAUGUAUAAAAUGGUAAAGGGUUAAGUACCUCAGCCCAUGAAGGUUCCAACUCAGUAGCUCCUGUAAAGUAUAGUGUACUCUUAAAAUCAAAUUGUAGAAAACAACCAGUGAAGGAAUCAUGAAACCCCAAAAGAUAGUCUGCGGCUGAAAAUAAACUGUUCCAAGGGCAUGGACAUGCAGAUGCAAUGCGAUCAAAGGAAGGAGACAACAUGAAUGAAAGACUUAGAAACACAUCUGGCAAUUUCAUGCAGAAAUAAAACAAAAAGAGAAAAUAAAAACAGAACCUACGAGUGGCUGCCUUGAGUGCUUUCCAUGCAUCUCCAAUUUCCAGUAAAACUUGGGCCUUUUGUUCUUGCAGUUUUGCAUUUUCCGGUAUCAAAUUCAGAGCAGCCUCCCAUUUCCCAAGUGCUUCUGGGUAUUUUCCUUCCUUCCAAAGAAAAACAGAUAAUUUAAAUAUAAUUGGAAAGAGAUGCACAAAAUUACCAAGCCGAGCUAAUUACAAGAUAACUAAAGUAGUGAUAGGCACAUAACAAUCAUCCAUUCCACCAUGUCUCAAACCUAUUAAUACCCGAUUAACAAUUUAGCAAAAUUUCCGAAUUUUACGAUGGAACUCUGCCCAAAACCCAUGAAAAUAAUUAUUAGAAUAAACUGGGGAGAAAGAAAGAUUUACUGGGGAGGUAGGGAAUAUACCUCAGCAAACUUGUUUCCUUGGAGUUGAAACGACUCGGCUAGCUGUUUAGAGCGAGAAUCAAAGUGAGCAGGAAGAUGAUGAUCCCCCGUUUUAAGUUCUGAAUCAGAUUGGUGCUGUUGGUUGUUAUCCGGGCUUUCUUGGUCAAAAGGGAGACUUGGGUAGUGGGAUAUAGCACCCAAUGACCGCUUCUUCGUCUUCUUGGUCCAUGUCACCUUCAUCUCCUCUAUCACUGGAUUUUCCAGAUAAACGCCUGUCUUUCUAUUCCUCUGCCCUGUCUCGGUUAAGAUCCAGAAGAUUCGACGGAGGGUAGAGCAGAACACCCGAUACUCAACGGUGCCGUAUGCCGUUCACAAAACAACCUUUGUCGUUCGUCAAGGGGCAAACAGACAAACGGUGCCGUUUUGUGACUUGUAGGAUAAGCCCGGAUGUGUAAAUGGGCUUGGGCUCAGUCUCUUAAAUGGGCCUUAAAAACACGAAAGAGAAUUAAGGAGAAAGUGACACGUGUACAUCUGUCUCUUAAAUGACUUGGUCAACAAGUCAUCUUAAAGGAUAAAAUUUUAAUUAUAACUUUUUCCAAGUUGGCAUUUCUGGCAAAGAGGCGAUUACGUGGCAUAAACCCUCUUCAUCACAAGUCUAUUUAUUAAGGGGCAAAACGCAGUGCAGAGUACAGAGGUGGUAAAGAAGAAGAAGAAGAUGAAGACGAGUGAAGAAAAAGAUUUUGCAGAGGAGAAGAGGCUUUUAAAAAUGGAGGCUGAGGACAGUGGGGGAAGAAAGUGGUUGAAGCCAAAACCAGCAAGUGUGAUGCCGAAACCAAGGAGGUCAGUAAAAACGAUGGCGUUUAAUCUCUUCCUCCAAUCCAUAGCAUCUUCUUCUUGCUGCUGCUCCCACUCAAAUAACCCUGGUUCUCCUUAUUGAUACUUUCUGCCAUUACUGAAAUUUUCAGUUCUCAGAAUUUUGUUUCAUUUCCUUCUUUUGUUACCACUACGUGUUUAUGUAUCUUUCUUAAACAUCAUUUUGGUUUCCUAUUUCGAUAUUAUACAUAUACAUAUAUUCAACUGGUACUGUAUGUAUCAAUACACAUUUUCCCAGGUACGUAGUUCCAUCUGGGUUCAUUCCCAAUCACCAUGGAAAACCGAGUUCAUUCCCCAAAUAUUAGAAAGAAAAAAAAUUAUUUCGUUAUAAAGAAUAAAAUAAUUCAAAUGGCAAUAAUUUAAUAUAAUGAUUCAAUUGCAAUAAACAAGUUCAAAUAUAAUGUGAAAAGUCCUAUUACCAAAAAGAUGUAAUAAUAUCAUUUUGUAUGGAAUUCUAAAUUUCAAAAUUAAAUUAGCUUUAUAUAUCACAAUAAACUAAAAUUAAUUAAAAUAAUAAUAAUUGAUGAUGAUGAAUGCCAACCUUGAAUGAGGUAAUUUCAUCAACUCUCACUAUAAUGAUUUAAACUACGUGUUUGUUUGAAUUAUUUGGACCGAGUCAAUGUUAUCAUUAGACAUAAUUCGAAAAAUAACAAAUAUAUAUACAAUUAUAAUGAAUAAAUACAAUAUUAGAUUAAGACAAACAUUAGUCUAAAAUUGAACGUAUCAUAUUAAAGCUAAAGAUUCAAUCGAUGAAAUUUUAGUCUACAUAUAUACAUUAGUUAUAUAUUUAAUACCUUAAUGUUUUAUUUGCAUAAUUUAUAUAAUGUACAUAUAUGUUAUUUUAAUUUUUAAUAUUAAAAUAUAUUAAUCGAUCUAAAUUAGAUCAAACUAAAUGUAGAUCAGACUAAAUAAAAAAAAAUUAGAUUCUAAAAUUUUUGGACCGAAGACUAGACUAAACAUUUAUGCGGUCUACUUCAAUUCGGUUUUUCAGUUCAAACCAGAUAAUGAUCGCUCGUAGUAAUAGAUUUAACUUUUAAAAUAUAUUUUAUUUUAUUUUUUGUGGGUCUAUUUUUAUAAUUAAAUAUAUUAAUUUAUAGGUUCAUAAACGGUGAACACGAGUUUAUUACUACAUCCAUUCUAGAAUCUUAAAAUAAUUAUAAUCAUAUCUAUAAAUAUAUGUAUUGGAUUAACAUUUGAUGAUUGUAAAUGAGAUAAUAUAAAGUUUGAGUCAUCAUAAAAGAUUAUGGUGAAAGCUUCAAACCGUUCCAAGUCUUAGGCCCCUGUUUGGGUAAGGAUAAUAAAAUCCUCUUCUUGGUUUUAUCUAUUCCAUACAUAUAUAUACAUAUAUAUAUAUAUAUAUAUAUGUAUGUAUGUCUUGUGAAUUUACUUAUAAAUUUAUUAUUUUUAUCUUAAAAUGAUGAAAAUUACAUCUUGUUUAAAAUUAAAAUAAUAUAUUAGUAUAAUUUAAAAUUAUUUUUUAUAAUUUCGUACAAAAAUUGAACUUUAAUUUUUUAAAACUAGUUAUAAUUAAGAAAUCAACGGUGGAAAUAAAAAGCAAAGUGAGUGAAAUGGCGGCUUCAAUAUAUAUCCGUUGUACAAACGGAUUCAUAAAUCCAUACCCGGCAAGCAAAUUCAAAAUAACCUGAAAAGCUAAAAGCACUCAAAGCAAAAGCAAAAGCCAAAGCAUUAGCUUUUCCUUUUCAAAUCUAACGACCAUCUUCUUCUGUACAUAUAUAUAUUGAUAUAAUAUAUAUAUAUAUAUAUAUAUGUGCGGGCAUAGAUUUUUGUGUUUCCCAAACCAAGAAGAAGCCAAAACAAGAUGGGUUGCUGCAUUAGCAAAUGCAAACCCAAGAGGGCUCUGGUAGAUGAACUCAACUUUGUACAAGAUAAGCUUGUCAUCUCCUCACAACCCAACAAAUUAACCCAUUUAUCAAACAAAGUAAACCCUUUAAUUUCCUUGCCAAGAAACAUCAUCAACAAUCCUAUUCCUAAUUUCUCAAACAACAAAAUCUCCCCUAUAAUUUCACCUUCUUCCCCUUCUAAUUCUUCUCUCUAUUCCUCGACUUCUGCUACUACUCCCAGCACCAGUACAAUCACCUCAUCAUCCUCCUCCUCCUCCCUUUCAACCACUGCGUCUUCACUCUUGAUCACCUCCAAGGUCGACAGAUCUUUCUCCAAUGAAUUCUUGAGAGCCUGUUACAGAGAUAACCCACAUAUCCUUCGUAUUAACUCUAUAAGGGAACACUCUCUUUCACUACCAACCACCAAGAUAUCUCACUCCCACACAUCGCCACCGUUCAAACAAUUCUUCUCUCGAACUCUAGCUGGGUCUGGCUCUGGCUCUGGCUCUGGCUCUACGCCGCACAAGAGGGUCCGUUCUAGUUCUCCCAAUAACACCACCCUAACCCGGCAAAAGAGCUCCCGAAACCACUAUCCCUACGGGCCUAGCAGAACUGGUUUGAGAUCACCUUCUCCUAGCAGGAGAUUUAGCAGUGAAAACGGCGUGGGAGCGUUGACCAAUCCCUUAAAGGAAAGCUGCUCUAAGACGCGUGUGGUUGGUCCGAAGCUAAACGCAACAAGCUCUGUUUCAAGACAGGAAAGUUUCGGGCCGGCGAGUCCAAAUAGGAAAGCGAGCACUGGAAACAGAGAGACUCGCGUACAUCGUGUUAGUUCUAAAAUCGAUGAAACAGCAGUUAUGGACGCCGUUUCAAGUCAAGAAAGUAACACCGACUGCAUUCUAAUAGAGGACAUCGACAACCCUCUUAUCUCGUUGGAUUGCUUCAUUUUUCUCUAGAAAUUUCUGUGUGUGAGUGCAUAUAUACAUAUAUACAUAUAUAUAUGUACAUACAUAUACACGAAUCUUGCAUCAUGUUCAAAUUUUGCUUUGUUUUUUUCCUCAUAUGAUAUUCAUUAUCUGCAUGCGGAAGGUUCAAAUUGCUUGAAUUUUUCUGCAUUUAUAUGUCACUGAGAUAUUGGAUGUAUAAUCUUUUAUCCAAUUUUCUUGCUGGUUAUAAUGUUCUUGAGUUUUAAGAAAAUGCAAUUGACAUGAUGAUGAUAUAGCGAAUAUUGUAUGUAUAUUGUUAUUAAUUAGUUCCUAAUUCUACUAUUAUAUAUAUAUUUGAAAACUUAAAAUGUUGUCAUGCAAUAGAUAUAUGGUUUAUUAAAUUUUGGUUCAAAAAUAUUAUUAUUAUUUUAUCUAUUUUCUAAAAUUAAAUUAUUGGGAAUUUGACUUAUUAUAAUUUUUUGAAUUAUUUUAUGUAAAUUUAAAAUUUGCAUGACGAUAAUAUCAUCAUUUUUUUACGUAGUGGAAAUUUUGGGCUGAAUGAGUCAAAAAAAGAAAAAAAAAAAACUACAUCGUUGACCAUUUCUUCACGUCAAUUUCACUGACGCGCCCGCAAGUGUGUGCAAAGCACGGGUUGACCGUUUAAGCGUGUUUCGUAUGUGAUUAUUUUUUACUCUGAAAUUGGUGUCUGAAUCCAAUUAUUUUCGUAUAUACCUUUACACAUUAUAUUAUUAUUAAUAUGUAUAUAUAAAUUCUUGAUAAAUAAGUAAAAUUUUAAUUAAAAAAAUCUCCCAAUUACAUUGUAACACGAGGAGAGAAAAAAAAUCUCUGCAAUUGUAUAUGUGUGUGUGUGUGUGUGUAUAUAUAUAUAUGUAGAUGGACUGAGUUAGAAAUAAACUAGUAAUUGAUAAGUAGAAAGGGUUGCAAUCACUUGGCAGCAUCAUUGACUAUGAAAUGAAUAUUUAUAUACCUCCAACACGUCAGAUCUUUGAUUUUCAGAUUAAGAUGUGCUGAAUACUAACAAUAUAAAACGCAGAUGUUGCUACGGCAAUAUUGAUUCAACCAGAAUUUUCAUUUCUCCAAAAUUUAACUAUAGGCUGUAGCUACCCCAGUCAUGGCAAUUGCAGAAAUUAGAAUCAUAUUGCUUCUGCUAUCCACAUCCAUUUGGCUUCUUUCAUCAUCAUCUUCACCACCCAGCUCUGAAUCAUUCCCUCUCGCCAAACCCGGUUGCGCAGAUCGCUGCGGCAACCUAAUCAUCCCAUACCCAUUUGGGACGACCCAAGAAUGCUCUUACGAUGAUCGCUUUCUGAUCAAUUGCAACCAAACAUUUGAUCCUCCCUUACCCUUUUUUACAGCGGCCAAUAGGAGAGUCACCAGCAUCACGCUCGAGGGAAAGUUGAAAAUGAUGCAGCCCAUAAUAAGGCAUUGCUACAACAAGGCAGGUGAAUUGAUCAGAGCCGACUGGUCCUCGUUCCUAUCCAGCUUCAUGAUCUCCCCAACUGACAACAAGCUUGUCUUUCUUGGCUGCGACACUCAAGCUGAAGUCAUGUUUUCUCGAGGUAGUAAUCGGAGCCUGUUAUACAAAUUAGGCUGCUCCAGUACUUGCAACAGCCUUGAGUACGUAGACAGCAGCUCAUGUUCAGGUGUGGGGUGUUGCCAGAUACCAGUCGCUGUUGACAAACGAGUAAAUUAUAUUUUCAUAAAUAUGAGUAGCUUUAACAAUCAUAAGCUUGUUUGGGAGUUCAAUCCAUGUAGCUACGCUUUUAUCGUUGAGGAAAACCAGUUCAAUUUUUCUUCAAAGUAUCUUGGCGGUCUGGGAACAUUAAGAGAGCUGCCUUUGGUUCUUGAGUGGGUGAUUGGCGGUGCAAGUUGCAAGGAAGUGAAAGAGAAAAUGAUGCGUAAUGCUUGUGAGGAAAAUAGCCAGUGUUACGAUUCAGAAACUGUGUUUGGAUAUAAGUGCAAGUGCCAAGAGGGUUAUCAAGGAAAUCCGUACUUGCCUCAUGGUUGCCAAGGUUAGUGAUGAUCUCCUCCCCCUCCUCCUCCUCCUCCUCCUCCUUCUUCUUCUUCUUCUUCUUCUUCGUUUUCCAAAAAAAGAAGAAUGGAUGGUAAAGAUAUUAAUCCUGAAUAAAAGUUUUACUGUUAAUUAUGAACUCGGAAGCCUAUUUAUUUAAUAAGAUAAAGAUAUAAUAAAAGAAAUGAUUACUUAAAUGAAUAGAUCCUCAACUGUGCUGUAGAUAUAGAUGAAUGCAAAAGUCGAAGUCUCCAUAAUUGUUCACACGCUUGCUCUAACACAAAGGGAAGCUUUACAUGUUUGUGCCCAAAACGACAUCGUGGGGACGGAAGGAUAGGCGGGGAAGGUUGCAUUCUUGAGGAAUCUUUAUUAAUCCAUAUUACUGUCGGUAAGUAUUUGUACCUACACAUAAACUAAGGUUGACUAACACCAUUAUGUAUAAAUUAGGAUGAAAGGCAUGACAAAGUAUAAUUGAGUUUUGCAAUUUCAGGUUGCAGUGCAGGAUUUGGCAUAAUGGUUUUAGUGAUUGGUAGUUUGUGGUUAAGGAAACAAGUGAAAAGAAGGAAGAAAGUAAAGCUUAAGCAAAGAUAUUUUAAGAGGAACGGAGGAUUGAUAUUACAACAACAAUUGUGUGGCAGUAGUGAUGAGAGUAAUAUGGAAAAAGGAAAAUUGUUUAGUGCUAAAGAGUUGGAGCAUGCUACUAACAAUUAUAACGAGAAUAGAAUUUUGGGUAAGGGAGGACAGGGCACUGUUUAUAAAGGGAUGUUAGAGGAUGGGAGAAUCGUAGCUAUCAAGAAAUCAAAAGUUGUGGAUGAAAGUUACCUUCAACAAUUUAUCAAUGAACUUGUGAUUCUAUCACAAAUUAACCAUAGAAAUGUGGUAAAAUUACUCGGAUAUUGUUUAGAGACUGAAGUUCCUCUACUUGUUUAUGAGUUCAUCCCAAAUGGAACACUAUCUCACAUAAUUCAUCAAACUGAUAAUACCGAAUUCCUAUUUACUUGGGACAUACGUUUACGAAUCGCCACAGAAGUUGCAAACGCUUUGUCUUAUUUACAUAGUGCUGCUUCAAUGCCUAUUUAUCAUCGUGACAUCAAGUCUACAAAUAUAUUAUUGGACGAAAAAUAUAGAGCAAAGAUAUCAGACUUUGGGACUUCUAGAUCCAUUUCAGUUGAUCAAACUCAUUUCACUACUCAAGUACGAGGAACUUUUGGAUAUUUAGAUCCAGAGUAUUGCCAGUCAAACAAAUUUACAGAAAAAAGUGAUGUUUAUAGUUUUGGAGUUGUCCUUGCUGAGCUCUUAACUGGACAGAAACCGAUUUUUCCUGCACUAUCUGAAGGGGAUGAUAGAAGCUUGGCAAUCUAUUUUUCACGAUUCAUGAGGAAUAAUCGUUUAUUUGAAAUUAUUGACCUUCAUAUUGCCAAUGAGGUCGGAAAGGAAGAAGAAAUAACUACUGUUGCAAAGAUUGCAACAAACUGUUUAAACAUCAAUGGCAAGAAUAGACCAACAAUGAAGCAAGUAGCGAUAGAGUUGGAGAGGUUAAAAGGAAUAGACAAGCUUCCAACAAUAGAAGAGAUUUCUACUAACGAAAUGAGUCCACAUUCUCAACAUUAUGAUGGAGUUACUUCAGAGGAUGAAGAGACUGAAUACUUGCUUGUCACUACUGAAUCAUAAAUACUGUAAUACUAGUUCACUAUAUGAUAGAUAAGUCUCAUUAAACUAAAAAUUCACGAUGAUUUUUCUAAUUAAUUUUUUGUCAUAUAUGGUAUAUUACCUUAUUAAUCAACCACUGAAACGACAUACUAAUUUAAUUAUGAGAAAUAUUGAGAGUGUUAGAUAUGGUGCUUGUUAACAUGAUCCAACAAUUAUCACUAUAUUUUAUCAAUUAUUAUACAGUGUAUUCUUGAUCAUAAGUGCUACGGUUGCAAGAUAUUUGCAAUUAUUUUUAAAUUUAUAUAUAGCUUUGUUAUUUACAGCAAAAUGAUUUAAUAGUUUUGUUAAGGGGGAUAUAAUUUUUGAUUUUAUAUAUAUAUAUAUAUAUCAUAUAUUAUGUAUUUUUAAUUCAAAUGCUAUAUAUUUAGUGCAACACAAGUUUCCCAUGUACAUUUUAUUAACAUACACAACUACUUUCUAGUUAAUUAUGUAAUUCAAUUUAAAACUUCUAAACCCAAAGCAAUUUCCCCACGUAUAUUUUAUUUUCGAAUUGAAAAGACCAAGCCUUAUUUAUGUCUGUACCAAGAAAAUUAAUUGUUUUACAAUUAUUAAUACAUGUAUAUAUACACAUAUAUGUAUAUAUUAUCUAUUGAUUUAUAUAUGUAGUUAGUAUAAAACUUUAAUGGUGAUUCAAAUUAUGUAUAUAUACAUGUAUGUAUUUAAUAAUAUGCAAUGAACCGUUUACUCUUUCAAUUCUUAUUAAUGCUUUAAUAGUAUAUACGUACAUAUGUAUAUAUAUAAUGAAAAGUUUGUUUUUCUAGUCUUUGUAAAUGUUUUUGUAAUGAUACUAGAAAUAUUUAAAGGAAAUACAUGAUAAUUAAAGUGCGGAAUCAAAAUAAAUAUUUAAGAUUUACAUUACUUACAUAAUAAAUUAAAGUAUCAAUUAGUAUUUCAAAAUUUACCAUUUUGAAAGAAUAUAAGAAAUAAAAUAUGAAUGAAAAAUAAAAAAAUUAGCAUUUUACUCGCAGCUCUCUUGCGGAUUGGGCUCUGAAUUUUAAUUAUAUUGAUCUGAAAUAGUUAAAAAGGGAUAAGUUACACUAUAUUAGGGAGAAUAUCACACUAUAUCACCGACACAUAAAUAAAGUUUGGUAAAAAACGUAAAAAAAAAUAACUAAUAGAGCACUAGAUUAAGCAAAUUCAUUUAUCAAUAAUAAAACCAUUAACCGUCCACUUAUCGUAGUGAGAUUUAUAGAAAACAACCUAUAAAAAAUAAUAACAUUAUACAUAUCAUAAUUCUGUAUAUAAUUGGCAACAUAGCAUAUAUUACACUUUCACAUUCAAAUCAUCAAACAACAAUUGCCCAUUUUUUCCACCAACCUGUUGGUAUCCACGGAGGUUCAUAGGGAUCUCUACGCUACGCGUGAACUUUUUCCUUUAACAUUCUCAAUUACGGGUCGUCCCCAUACCCCGUCCGGUAUGAGUGUCAAAUUACCAAAGCUCAAUACCUUAUUUGGUAUGAGGGUGAAGCGGGCCGUCCCUAUAGCCCGUUCGAUAUGAGUGCCAAGUUACCAAGUCUCCAUACCUCGUCCGGUAUGAGACACGUCUAUGGUAGGGUUCCCUGUAUACUCGGUCCAUCCACUAUCUCCCAGUAUGUCCAAUAAAGCUGCCGUUUCAUCCAGUCAUUUAAUCACACAAGUCUUCCGUUUACCUUUACCCUCUAUUUUUUCAAUUUAAUCGUAAACACGUAAAAUAACAAACAUACAUUCAAAACUAUAAAAUAAAUCAAUAAGGCACUAUCAUGCAUUUAAACUGUAAAAACAAUCAACAGAAAUCAAUAGAGAAUAGUUUCCGAUUCUACCUCUAUUAACUAUCCGUAAUUAAUCAUGAAAAUUUCUAAAUUGUACAAAAUAUCAUAUUUAUUGUUAAUUAGACUUUAAUUCUAUAACAGAGAAUAGAUGAGAGAUUCUUACUUAAUUUGGUGCGCAAAAGGCUAAACUAUUGAUUGCGUCUACUAGCGGUCCCCGGGUUCUCUAAAUUUUUUUUCGAGAAUAAAAACGUGUUAUAAGUACCUAUAAAUGUCCCAAACUUAAAUCAGUUUCAGGGCCCAUUUUGGCCAAUUUUGGGAUUCCACCACGGCGGCUCCGCAAUGCUCCAGUGACGGCGGUCCACCUCGGAUCGGCUGUUUUCGGCUAUUUUCGGCCAGAUUCGACCGAUUUCGCAUCAAUUCCUGUGAGAAAAUAUGUUAAAGGGACUCGGUUGGCUAAAAAAAUACAAAAAAUCGAAACUCACUGGUGGCAGGACUCUCUAGUGCGACGGCUCCUCCGGCUCACGUUGCAGUUGGAUGUUUUAUUCCGGUCAACCUGUAGAGAAGAAAACGGUGAUAACAAGGGUAGAAAAAUUAUGCAGAACAGGAAUCGGGAGGAGUCUCAUCGAAGGCGUUUUGUGAAAUUUUCCGUGGUGGUGUUACCAGGCUUUACCCAUAUUUUUCAGGCAAUCGGCCGGUCUUUUUACUCUAAUUUGGCCAUGGGUGUGUUUAAAAUAAAAUUCUAAGUAAAAUUUUUUUUUUACCUCUUUUCGCGGUUGGAAAGGACUCCGAUCGCAGUAGCGGCGGUCUCCUUCCCAGCGACUGGAUCUUCUUCUCCGGUGAGGGGGUCUGGCGGCUAGGGUUAGAGUUUGGUGUAGAUGAGAGUUAUUUAUAUCCGUCCGCUUUUGAUAUGGAUCGUCCAUCGCGUUUGAUCUGAACCGUUCGAUCGCGAUUAAAUAGGGAGUGAAUCUGGACCAUUCACUGCGAUCCAAUAUGAACUGUUCACUGCGAUCUAAUCUGGACCGUCUGAUCACGUUCAAAUCUGACCGCCCGAUCGCGUUUGGGGAGGAAAUGCAUCUGGGUUGUUCGUGCUCGCAGAAACGGAUCUGAGCUGUUCGAUCGCGGGCACGCGGAUCACCCGCAUGGCACCGCGUCAGCGUCCGCUACCACGCGGUGCGUCUUGAUUCGUCAGAGCUGCUGACCGGGCAUCCUACAUGACGAAACUUCUCUAACUUGUAUUUUGACCUUUAGUUUCUGAUUUUUCUUUCAAAAAUACCUAAAAAACUCAAAUUUUUACUAAUUUUUCCUAAAAUUGUUUUCAAUUUAAUCCUCAAUCAAUUUUAUUUUAUUUUUACUCUAAAUUUAAAUUAAAAAAUUAAGAAAUUAUAUUUAUAAAUAAAUCUUAAAUUACAUUAAAAAUUAAUUUAGGGUAUUACAAUUUUAAUUUUCUAAAAUACUUUCUCACAACAUUACUUAUCAUAGUGAAUAUGGGAUCUGAUAGGUCACAGUUAGAAGUUAAAAAAAUUGGUAAAGAAAUUCUCUUCGGGUGAGAAUAAACUACAAAAUUUUUUGAUUCAAAGUUGUCUGUUUUCCUUGUUACUUGGGAAUGGUCUAAGUAUAUAAAAAUACAACCGCAAAUUUCUAUAUUUAAACAACUAAAGAUAAUGGAGGAAAUGGGAUGGUGCAACAACUGCUUCAUGCAACAACAGCUUGUUGACCGAUUUUGCAGCAAUGGCUAUUUUAUCCUUACGUUCUAUGACUGAAAUAUGCAGCUUAACAAGAUUAUAUUCUUAAAAAGUGAUUAUAUGUAUGGUAAAUCUGGGAUCUUUUAGGGACUAAUAAAUUUAUGAAGUCAACUCGUGUGAACUUCAUAUUACCAUACAACAAUUGUCGAAGUAAGAGCUUGUUGGUUGUAACUUUGAAUCGCUUAACAUUCAAGAACUCUUAAAUUUAGGAUGAUGAUCUCUUAAAAUUGUAAAUACCAUAGAUUACUCAUGGUCUUAUGGACCAUUUCUCAUAAAUAUUAAAGUUAUAAUCUUUUCAUAAUCCUUUAAAAGUUGUACUCAAUAUUUAGGUCUGUACGUCUGAAGCUAGCUUCGUCUAGAUCUUGGCUUCUCCUUUCUUUGGAGAAGCACAAUCCUUAAGCAUAUAUGAUUAUGUGUUAUAAGUAAAAUUGAACACCCAGUAUGUAGAGAAGGAUAUUUCACAAGCUUUCCACCAUAAUUUCAUACAUAAACUUGAACAUAUGAAUUUAUAAUGGCAAUAAGUAAAUAAGCCACGAACAAAAGAGUCUAAGAAUAAAGAAUUAUUGUUUAAUUAUAUAUCCUCUAAGUUUGACAAGUAAUGUGAUUAAUGGAUAAUUGAGGUUUAUUAUUCUUUAAUUAGUAAUUAAGUGUCUUGAAUAUCAAUUAAUCCAUCAGAUUAUUUAAUUAAUCUAUUAAAUUAAAUGAAUAAAUUUAUAAUAUGACAAUGUCAAAAGAAACUAGUUAAAUCUCAAUCAGUUUUUUUAUUUUUUUCAUUUUUUUUUAUAUUAUUUUUAAGCAUCAUUCAGGUUGGGUCUAAUCAAGUUUUAAUCAUGGUAGGAACUUAUAGCAGUGAUGUAAUUAAUAGUUUAAUUGAACUUUGGCGUCAGCUUGCUGGUGGUAUUUCAACAUUCAUGUUAAUUAAGCUUAAUUUAAUUAAUUAAUCAUCCAUUUGUGCUGAGAAAUAGUCUGACUUUCAUAUUUUCUUAAAACCUAAAAAUGAAAUAUAUCAUAAAUUAAACUCAAGUUUACAUUGUCAAUUAGGGUAAUUCUGAAAGUAAUCUGGCCUUUCAUAGUCACGUACAUCAGCUGAAAAACUUGUAGUUGUAUUAAUAAUAUUUGUGAGAUAAUAUAUGGAUAAGUAAGAAAAAUUAUAGUUGAGUUAGUAAACGUGAUUUAUAGAGAAGUCAAAGAAGUGAAUUGGUCUGAACUUGAGGUUGUCAAUAAAUGAAGAAUCAAUCUGCAACUUCAAGACUGCAAAGACAAACACUUGUAGACAUUGAAAUAUUCCAUACCAGAAUCUAGAGAAGCUGCUGUGUGUAGGAGCAUGAAAAGCUACGGUGUUGUUGUAAUAUUUAUGGCGAUUUGGGUGGUAAUAACAGCAGGUUUUCCUAUUGCUAAACCUGGUUGCCGAGAUACUUGCGGCAACGUUAGCAUCCCAUACCCGUUUGGAGUCUCAGAAGAAUGUUACUACGACAAACAGUUCUUAAUCAACUGUAAUGAUACAAUUGAUCCACCCAAAGCAUUUUUAACAGGAAGCACCAUCAAUGUCACGGAAAUCACACUUGAAGGAAAGCUUCAUGUCUUGCAAUUCUUGGGUAGAAAUUGCUAUGCCAAGAAUGGUACCCGGCUUUUAAAAAGACGGCCGAGUCUCAGUCUGUCCAAAUUCAUCAUCUCUGAUACUGAUAAUAAGUUUAUUGCUAUUGGUUGCGACACCCAAGCCUAUCUAGAUGGUUACCAAGCUUAUCAAAUUCUAGGAUACACCGUAGGUUGCAUUUCGAUCUGUCAUAGCAUUCACUACGUAGCCAACUUUUCGUGUUCGGGCAUCGGGUGUUGUCAGACAUCCAUUGCCAAGGGUGUAAGUUACUUUGAAGUUGAUAUAAAUAGCUUCAACAACCAUACUGAAGUCUGGAACUUCAACCCCUGUAGCUUCGCGUUUGUUGUCCAAGACAGCUGGUUUAAUUUUACUUCAAAUUAUCUUCGUGAUUUACAAAAUGUAACAAAGAUUCCUAUGGUUCUUGAUUGGACAAUUGGAAACGAGACAUGCAAGGAAGUGAAACAAAGGACGUUGCGUAACGCAUGCGAGGGUAACAGCACUUGUUAUGAUUCUGAUAACGGGUCUGGUUAUCGUUGCCGGUGCUUAUCUGGUUAUGACGGAAAUCCAUACCUCCCUGAUGGUUGCCAAGGUAUCUCUCUCUCUCUCUCUCUCUCUUUCCAUAUAUAUAUAUAUAUGAAUAAGUUUUUGUUUUAUAUAUAUAUGUAUAUAUAUAUAUAUAUAUUAUCCCCUAUACAUGAAGUAGCUUUUGGUAAGCAGAACUUCAGAAACAAAUAACAAUUUCCUGCGACUCAUUUGCAGAUAUAGAUGAAUGCAAAGAUCGAAGUCAUAAUUGCACCCACAUCUGCACUAACAAGGUGGGAGGAUACAAUUGUUCAUGCCGUAAAAGACAUCACGGAGAUGGUAGAAAGGAUGGAGAAGGAUGCAUUCCUGAUAGGCCUCUGGUGAUUCAAAUAACUGUCGGUCAGUAUCCAACCUGUUACAUAAUUUUGAAUUCAUAUAAUAAUGCAAAGCAAUUGGAAUAUUAUGGCGACAUGAUUAAACUGAUAUAUAAUUUGUAGGUGUUGGCGUGGGGAUAUUGGUAUUGCUAACGGGUAGCUCAUGGCUGUACUGGGGUUUCAAUAAAUGGAAGCUCGUGAAACUGAAAGAGAAAUUCUUCAAGCAAAAUGGAGGGUUACUGCUGCAACAGCAGCUUUCGAAAAAGGAAGGAUGUUCAUCAUCAGAGACAGCUAAAAUCUUCACGGCUGAAGAACUUGAAAAAGCAACCAAUAACUAUGCAGAAAGCAGAGUUCUUGGUAAAGGUGGUUAUGGAACAGUUUACAAGGGGACCUUGACGGAUGGUAGAAUUGUAGCAAUAAAAAAAUCUAAAGUCGUGGAUCAAACUCAAACCGAUCAAUUCAUUAACGAAGUGCUUGUUCUCUCUCAAAUCAAUCAUAGAAAUGUUGUGAAACUUCUGGGUUGCUGUUUAGAAACAGAAGUACCUUUGCUUGUUUAUGAAUAUAUAACCAAUGGCACCCUUUUCGAUCACGUCAACGAUAAGAGCAGAGCCUCGAGCCUCACAUGGGAAACUCGUCUGAGAAUAGCAGCAGAAACUGCAGGAGUGCUAUCUUAUUUGCAUUCUUCAGCUUCUAUUCCGAUUAUUCACAGAGAUAUCAAGUCGACAAAUAUUCUCUUGGACGAUGCUUACACCGCGAAAGUGGCUGAUUUUGGUGCUUCAAGAUUGGUUCCGCUUGAUCAAGUUGGCUUAUCUACGAUUGUUCAAGGAACUCUAGGGUACUUAGAUCCUGAAUACCUCCACACGAGUCAGUUAACUGAGAAAAGCGAUGUUUACAGCUUUGGAGUUGUCAUUGUAGAGCUGUUAACUGGAAAGAAGGCGCUGUCGUUCGAAAGGCCAGAAGAGCAGAGAAACCUUGCAAUGUACUUCCUUGUAGCUGUAAAAGAGGAGAGACUGGUUGAAAUUCUGGACGAUCAUGUUAAGAAUGAGUAUAAGGUUGAGCAACUUGAAACAGUUGCUAAUCUGGCAAAAAGAUGUUUGAGAGUGAGAGGAGAAGAAAGGCCAACCAUGAAGGAAGUUGCCAUGGAACUAGAAGGAAUAAGAAUGACAGUACAGCACCCAUGGGUUAAUAAUGAGGAGUCAUACAGUGAAGAGACUCAGUACUUGCUCGGAGAGUCAAUUAUAGAUUCUACUCAAUUUGGUGAGUGUAGCACAAAUGGGUAUGAUAGCAUCAAGAAACAUGUCCAGCUAACACCAGUGCAUGAUGGGAGAUGAAAUUAUACACACUCUGCUGGAAAAUUUUGAUUCUCCAAAUUCCAAAUGCUAGUUAAGAAAGUUAUGUUGGUAAACUUUACUUAGAAUUUACAUAUAAUUAGACUAAACUAUUUGGAGAGCCCAAUACCAUGUUUGCUCUGCGAUUCAUGUUUAAGGUUGGGCCUCAGACAUUUCUCGCUUUCGUGCAAAAUAAAAAAAGAAGAAGAAGGAGGAAAUUUUGGAAAAGUGCAAGAAGAUUCGAAAUUCCAGGUCAAAGCAAUCCUGCAUGAAUCUCUUUUUAAACUUUCACGUCCUUUCGUAUCUUCCUUGGGCCCCCUAUAAAUCUUCUCCUGCUGCUGCCCAUUUUUGCUUUUACAAAAUGAUACUUAAAUUUUCAGAGGAUUCUGCAAAAAUAAUAUGAUUGAUUAUACAUAUACAGGUUACAAUAAUACUGUAUAUAUUGACAGUAAUCUUAAACGUCAAACAGCUUUACUUCUGCUGCUCCCACUGAUCGCAAAUCCGAGUCAUAUUCAUCCCCUUUUUGAAUUCUUUCGCUAUAUUAAGCUCGUGCAUGUUUCUAGCUAUACACCUACAAACAUAUAUAUAUAUAUAUAUACAUAUGUAAUCCAUAUUUAUAACCCAUUUCCUUUACAAACCGUUCCCAUGUUGUCAUGCUGUCACAUAUCAAAUCGCUCAGCUUUUUAUUUUUAAUUAUCAUCUGUCUCCAUAUAAUAUAUAUAUAUAUAUUGUCAAGUCAUGAAAUGUUUAUAUACGUAUAUCUACUGAAGUCGCAUAUUCCAUUAAAUCCUCUAUAAUCAAUUUGUCCCCCCAAAAAGAUUUAAAAUUAAUUACGCCAAGCAUGACAUCUAAUUAUAUGUCUAUAUAUAUGUAUGUAUAUAGUAUGGCCCCCUUUCACUUUACUUAUUUGCUUGCCAUUAUUAUGAUACCUUCUAAAACCCAUAUAUAUAUAUAUAUAUUAUUAAGAACUUAUCAAGGUUUAACACAAGAAUUUUUUUUUUUUUUUUUUGAAAGAAGAAAGAGAUAAACAACUGGGUAAGCUAUAAAUAAUUAUAAAAGUAAAGUGGAGGGAGAUAGAAAGAGGAAAAAGAUAUAACUCCUUUAGGGCAAUAUAUUCAACUUGAAGGUAUGUAGCUAUAGAUUUUCAUAUUACUAUUCUGCCAAAAAUUUGAUAUGUGAAUUAUCCAAUUUGGGAACUUUACACGACAGAAAGCAUGACAAAGGACAUCCUAAGAUAAAAAAGAAACUAUCACCACCAGACAUGUCAAUUUGAUUUAGAUAAGUUGACCCCAUCAUCGUUCUACUUUUCUAUAUUUGUAUGCCACUUUGAUCCGCAACGUUAUCUUGACCAGUACCACACCAACUAAUUACUUAUAAACACUUCGUAUAUACUGUUACAAUUCUAUGAGCCACCUCCUCUCUGUGAUAAUCUCUUCUGCAUAUAAAAUACUAGUGUCUCUGCAGUGUGUGUGUGUGUGUGUAAGUGUAUGUGUACAUAUAUAUCUCUAAAUAUAUACCUACGUGAUUCUCCUUUUGUAACAGUAUAGCUGCUGUUUUCUUUUCUUUUCUCAUUUUCUUUUCUCUUGGAUUGGAAAAAAAGAAAUGCGAAAAAGGAAAAUAUCAACUAGUCAUGUAUUUACAUUAAAGUAAAACAUUUUUGUCUUCAACAAUUAAUAUAAGCGCAACUUAUGUAAUUAUAUAUAAAAGAUAUAAACAAUGAUGAUGGUGGUCAAGUAGAUAAUCUUUAAGAGCCAUGAGAAACUCGUGUCCAGUUUCUUUCAAGCUUUAACUUGUAAUUGUAAAGAAACAAUUAGUUUAUUAAUUAUACCAAGUCAAGAAUACAUAUGUAUACAUAUAUAUAUAUAUAUGUACUCGUGCCCAGUUUGAAUCCUGAUGCGAUGAACUAUGAGUCAGUUUGUUGUGUCAAUAAUUAGAGAUUCACGAUUGGCAGCUAGCGACAUGGAGACUUUAAUUUUGUACAGCUUAAUUUAUAGCGUACGUAGACAUUUCACUUUUGCAUGUCAUCACCACGUCGUUUUAUUCAGGUUACUUUGAAGAUAGUAAUGAAUACUGAUCAGGUUAAGUGCAUGGUCAACCACAUAUUUUAGUUGCUAUGCCAUACUCUAAUUUUUUGUAAUAUUUUAAAUUAAUUUGUAAAAUUCAAAAUUUAUAUAUAAAAUUUAAUUUUUAAUUUUAUAAAUUAUUAUUUAAUAUAAAAUUAGAAAAAAAAAUAGGUGAAUAAUGAAAUUGAAAAUAAUUUAAAGAAAAAAUGGUGAAAUUUUGGGUUAUGUGGAUGUUUUUGAUAGAAAAAUCGAAAACUGGGAUCAAAAUAUAAUUUAAGUAAUAUGCCACAUAGGACGUUUAGUUAGCAGUCUCGACGAAUCGGAGUGCGUCGUGUGGUAAGACACGUUGACACGGUGUCACGCGGGAGGUCAUGCUGACGAUACGCGUGCCUGCAAUCGGACGGUCCAGAUUUGUUCCACCGCACGAUGAUGUUCCUGAUCCGUUCCCUCCUCAAAUACGAUCGGACGGUCGCGAUUAAACGGUAGGAACGGCCCAGAUUCACCUCCUAUUAAACGCGAUCGUACGGUCUAGAUCAAAUCACAAUAAAUAGUUUAAACUCACUUAUUAUUUAAACGCGAUCAUACGGUUAAGAUAAAACGUGAUGGACAAUCCAGAUUAAAAGGAGACGGAUAUAAAUACUCAUCUUCACACCAAACCCUAACCCUAGCCGCCAGACUACCCCGUCAGAGAAGAAGAGCAAGUCACCGAAAAAUGAGCCGACUGUCACCCGUUGUCACAUUGGAGCUACUUUCGACUGCCAAAAGAGUUAAAAAAAAUUCAAUUCCCUCGAAAUUCCAUUUUGAGCACUCCUAUAGCCAAAUUGGAACAAAAGAACAUGCGGAUGAGUCGAAAAUCGCGAGUAGAGCCCGGCGGGGCCGCCGCGGAAAAAAAUAAAAAUUGCAUCUAAUGAGACCCUUUCCGAUUUCUAUUUCGUGUAAUUUUUUCAUUAUUAUAAUCAUCAUUUUUUUUUUCUACAGGUAGACUGAAGCAAAAUAUCUAACUGCAAAAGUGAGCAGGCAGGGUCGCUGCAAACGAAAACUUCGCCGCUGAUAAACUUCAGUUUUUCAACUUUUUUCGGCCAAUUGAUGCCUCCUAACGUGUUUUCUCGCAGGGAUGGGUACAAAAUCUGCCGAAGUCAGCCAAAAUUUGCCAAAAACGGCCAACCCGAGGCAGACCACAGCCUGCGGCGACGGUGCCGUUGCCGCUCUGCCGUGCUGGAAUUCUGAAAUUGGCCAAAAGGGGUUUCUAAUACUGAUUUUGGAUUUUAGGAUGUAUUUUUAGGUAUUUAGAGUGUGUUUUAAUCUACGAAGAAAAAUUUAGGAAACACAAAUACCGUCAAUAGGUACACCCAAAAGUUUAGCGUUCGGACACCAAUUCGAGUAAGAAUCCAUUACCCUAUUCCUUGUUAUGGAAUUGAAGUUUAAUUAUAAACAAUGUGGUAUUUUGUACAAUUUAGAAAAUAUCGAUAAUUAAAGGUUACUAAUGAAGUCAGAACUGGUUAUCUAUUUCUGUUUAGCAUGUUUAACUGAUUGAUUGAUUUUACAGUUUUUGAAUAUAUGAUAAUAUGCUCGAAUUGGUAUAAUGAUUCGUUUAUGUUUCUUGACGCAUGUAUUGCUUGUUUUGCAUGGUUCACAGUUAAAUUGAGAAACUGAAAAUUAAAGAUAAACAGGAAAUUAUUUGAUUAAGUAAAUGGAUGAAUAGUAGUUUUACUGGAUAUCUUGAAAGAUGGUGAACGGAGCGGGUACAUAGGGAAUGUUAUCGUAAACGUUGUCUCAUAUCGAAUGGGGUCUCGAGGAUUGGUAAUUUGACGCUCAUAUCGGUCAGAGUAUGGGGACAACCCGUUUUACCCUCGUACUGAACGGAGUAUUGAAGAAUGAUAUUUCUUGGCGUUUAUACUGGACAGGGUAUGGAGACGACCCGUUAGUUGAAUUUUUAUUUAUUGUUUUAUUAUUAGUUGUUUUUUUAAAAUUGUCAUUCUCGUAACACUAUUGAGUAUUUCAAAUUAUUGUGUGAAGAAUGUAAACUCUAAUUUAUUGUUUUACUUUCUCAUUCAAUUCAUAAUUUAUUUUAUCUCAAGUUCAGGGAUCGUUUUAAUUUUAUUUUUUGAUUAAUAUAUAUAUAUGUACAUAUGUCAACAAACCUUAGAUAUAGAAUACUUUAUUUUUAUUUAUUAAAGUUCAAAUAUAAACUAGUUAAACUACCGUAAUCUUGUCUGAGAAUCUUGGUCCUAAAACAGCUCCAGUCCAAGCAACUUUAUAGCUUUAUGAGAGUUUAUACAGAGCUGGUUUUUUGAUUGUAUGUUGUCCAAAUAUUAUAUUAUGUACUAUGAUGAGAUCGUGUUGUUGCUUGCUUACCUAUAUAUAUCUUGUUUUAGUACCUACCUGAUUGAAACCAUUUGUCCCUUAAUAGUCAAAAGUGUUUUGUUUAUACCUAUAUACAUAUAUAUAUAUAUAUAUGUAUUUAUGUAUGUGGUUAAUUAGGCAAUUAUUUACAAAAGUGUAAAACUCAAGAUUGUUAUUAAUGAAUAGGUAAAAAAAAACAUUGGUGAUAAUUCAAAUGACUAUUAGUACAAAAGAAGUAUCUAACCUAUACACACACACACACACAUACAUAUACUUUGGUAGCGUAUAUAUAUAUAUGUAUGUAUUUAUACAUGUGUGUGAAUGGGAACUUUUGGUUGAAUAUUUUAGAUGAAAAAGAAGUGGGAGUUCCCCUUUUACACAACACUGCACAUGCAGGUCGACUUAAUUCAGCUAUACUUAUUAUAUAUAUAUAUUAAAGCUUGCUCCUCCACUUGUAUAUAAUAAUAAUUAUUAUUAUUAUUAUUAUUUUAAAUUUCCAUAUUAAUUAAGCUACUUUUUUUGAGCUUGUAAAAAGAAAAGAAAAGAAAAGAAAGCUACGGCUAGUCAGUUUGUAAAUUCAUAUAUUUUUUAAACUUUUUUUAUAUUUUAACGUUCUGAAAAUUAGGAUAUUCAGAACUGAUGAAUAUAUAUAUUUCGUUCGCGCGUGUGUGUGUGUAUAUAUAUUAUAUGUAUAUAUGUGGACGGCCUGCCAACCCACGUCAAGUUUCAUGCAAGAUUACUUUCAUUAAGGGGGGGAGGAAAAAAAAAAGAAAAAUUCAUUUUAAGAAAAUGAAAAUGUCAGAAGUGGGAUUUGAACCCACGCUCUCUAACGAGAACCAGAACUUGAGUCUGGCGCCUUAGACCACUCGGCCAUCCUGACGCUGGUGUUCUCUUGGCUUCCCAGAGAGAUAAUAUAAAAAAACUUGACUAAUUUUUUGUUAGUUGAAAUGUGGGGCCCAAGAGUGAGGUGGAAUCCACGCAUGGAGUACAGAGUGAGGUGGAUGAGCAUCUCUUUUUGGUUACCUAAAAAAAAAGCCCAAGUCGGUUUCUACUUUUUAAAGCCCCCCCAACCACCUUCCUCAUCCCAAAAAUAAAUUUCUAUAUUUUAUAAUUUACGAAUUUUAUUUGUAAAUUUUUACGAGUUUAAUAAAGUUUUUUUUAUUAAAUAAAAUAAAAUAAAAUAAAAGUAUCCAUAAACCCAUAUAAAAAUAAAAAUAAAAAGAGUAAAAUUAUUUUUCAAAAAAUCAAUUUGACUUGAGUCCUUGAAAAUUCAAUGGAGAAAAUAUAAAAUAGAAAUCUUGGGAGUGGGGGAAGAGGAGGCAUUGAGAUUUGAGAAGGACACGUGUCCGUUGUUUACAUUCAUAGGACACGUGUCCACCGCCCCACGAGCACCCCUCUUGAUUCACGCUUAAAUUUUGAUGCCUAAUUUUUUUUUUAAGAUACAAUUAAUCUUAAAUAAAUAAUUAUAUAUUUUAUACAAACCAAACCCAAUUGUUGACUAUUUUGAAAGACUUGACUAUACAUACAUACAUACAUACAUACAUGUAUAUAUAUAUGUGUAUCUAAACUUGCAAUUUCAUGCAAACAAUUUAAACAUACCCAUUUGCACAUGGAAAUGACAAAAAGAUGGAUUCAAAGAGAGUUCUACCAAAUCCAAACUUGACAUGUCCUUACAAAGAACAAAUUCGAACUCAACUCAACGUAGUCAUUUUAUUAUAUUAAUAUAAAUUUAAUUAUAUUUAUUAAUAUAAACUUAAAUAUAUUUAUAAUAAAAAAAAUUAUAUAUUUUACUAAAAAAUUAAAUUUAAAAUAAAUUUUGUUUUGACUUACUUUUAUUUUUUUCCAUCAAUAUGAAUUUAACCCGAUUCGUAUAUGUAUUUUAACAAAAAAAAAGCAUAACAGAUCGAUUAUAAAUAGAUCAAAUUAAGUAAAUUUAUAUAUUUUUAUCAUAUGUAACUGUACAAAUAAUAUAAUACAAAAUAAGAUAAAGUAAAGUCAUAAAUUUUUUAUUUAUUUUGAUAUUUAUAUUCAAAAUUAUUUGUGAAAGAAAAAUUAAAUUGCAAUCAGCUAAUUUAGUAAACUCGAUUAUAUUUUUGAGUUCGAUUGUAUUUCUUUACUUUCAGAAGUUGAAGAUUAGAGUUUUAAUUUUUAUCUAAAGUAAAACUAAUAUAUAUGCCGGUAGCUGAUUAGAUUCUUAAACAUAUAUCUUCAAACACGAUUAUUAGGUCGAAAACUAUGUACAAAAAAUUUAGAUUAGUCAAUUACUUCAGAUACCCUUUGGGGGAGAUGAAGUUUUAUCAAGACCAGUUUCUUCGUCUUUGUAGAAUAUUAAAACUUGUUUCAAUAUUGGAAAAAAUUAAAUCUCUUUUUACAACUUUUUCAAGAUGCUUUGAAAAGUAGGGGUAAAUUUUCUUAAUUAAUGGCCUUUAAUCUUCUUUCCAGGAUUUUAAGUAAUUAAUUAAGAUGCCUUUGGCAUUAAUCCUUGAUUAUGAUAUGUAUUUUCUUUUGUUAAAAAAAAAUUAUAAAAAUUAUUAAAACUAUAGAGUAAAUAAAUUUAACGUAUCCUACGAGUUUGAUUUUAAAUUUUAUGAGAUAAAUCAUUUCAAAUAUGAUGAAAUUAAAACGAAGAAUUAGACGACACUUAGUUGUCUCGGCAUCAACCAAAAAUGAUUUCAGUUCUUCUAAACCCUGAUAAACAUCGAUCGUGAAAAUUAUUUUGAAAUAUUUUGUUAUCUGAAAAUUUCUUUGAAAUUCUUUCGACGUUGUCUUUCGAUAAUUCAAUUAUCGUAGAAAAUUAUUUGAUAUUUUUUAAAAAAAUUAUGAAAUUAUUAUUUUUCUCGAUUUCAUAUUACCCUUUUUAAGUAUACCAAAGUCUUUAAAGACUGUACAUAUCUGAAUAUUUUGGUGGAUUAUGAAUGCUAGCUGUUUUAUGUGAUGUUUUUCUUUUUCUUCUUUCAUGAAGAUUAAGCGUGCAUGCAUGUGAAUAAAAGAAAUUAGUACACAAACACCUAAAAAGUGAAAUACCCCAAUGAUAUAUAUAUAUAUAUAUAUAUAUACAUAUAUCAUAUUCUUUAUCUUUAUCCCCCCCUCUAUUCCUGUCUUUGUCUUAAGAUAAACAUUAUGAUUGUAUAUACAUGGUCAUUUUAUUUCAAAUAACACAUCUCCAAAUACAGCAUAUGUAUACAUAUAGUUUUCAUCUACCAAAUUAUGAUGUUCUCUUUUCAAAAGGGUACUUGAAUAUUCAGAUAAUUAUAACAACUCUAUAAACACCAAGGCUGUUAUACUAAUUAAACUAUAAUUAUAUAUAGGAAUUUACACCAUUGGGAAGGUGCCAAAAA
rnacentral:lncRNA from 1 species